UAUAUUUUAAUGUAAAAAAUAAUGCAUAAAAAUUUUUGAAAUUUUUUGAAAUAGUUAAAUUCUAUUAAAUAUAA
rnacentral:tRNA from 1 species